rnacentral:rRNA from 1 species
AAGGCAUAGACAGCUAGGAGGUUGGCUUAGAAGCAGCCAUCCUUUAAAGAAAGCGUAAUAGCUCACUAGUCGAGUCGUCCUGCGCGGAAGAUGUAACGGGGCUAAGCACGUAACCGAAGCUUCGGGUGCAUAUUUAUAUGCACGGUAGGAGAGCGUUCUGUAAGCCUGCGAAGGUGUCUUGUGAAGGAUGCUGGAGGUAUCAGAAGUGCGAAUGCUGACAUGAGUAGCGAUAAAGGGUGUGAAAAGCACCCUCGCCGAAAGCCCAAGGUUUCCUGCACAACGUUCAUCGGUGCAGGGUGAGUCGGCCCCUAAGGCGAGGCAGAAAUGCGUAGUCGAUGGGAAACAGGUUAAUAUUCCUGUACCUCAAUUUAAUGCGAUGUGGGGACGGAGAAGGUUAAGUCAGCCGGGUGUUGGAUGUCCCGGUUCAAGCGUGUAGACAGAUUCUUUAGGCAAAUCCGGAGAGUCAAUGUCAAGGCGUGAUAACGAGUGAGCUUGCUCAUGAAGUGACUGAUACCAUGCUUCCAAGAAAAGCCACUAAGCUUCAGUUAAGUUGAGACCGUACCGCAAACCGACACAGGUGGGCAGGAUGAGAAUUCUAAGGCGCUUGAGAGAACCCAGGAGAAGGAACUCGGCAAACUAGCACCGUAACUUCGGGAGAAGGUGCGCCCCGGUAGGUUGUAGCAAUUUACUUGCGAAGGCCGAUGGGGUUGCAGUGAAAAGGUGGCUGCGACUGUUUAAUAAAAACACAGCACUGUGCAAACACGAAAGUGGACGUAUACGGUGUGACGCCUGCCCGGUGCCGGAAGGUUAAAUGAUGGGGUGCAAGCUCUUGAUUGAAGCCCCGGUAAACGGCGGCCGUAACUAUAACGGUCCUAAGGUAGCGAAAUUCCUUGUCGGGUAAGUUCCGACCCGCACGAAUGGCGUAACGAUGGCCACACUGUCUCCUCUUGGGACUCAGCGAAGUUGAAAUGUUUGUGAAGAUGCAAUCUACCCGCGGCUAGACGGAAAGACCCCAUGAACCUUUACUGUAGCUUUACAUUGGACUUUGACAAGAUCUGUGUAGGAUAGGUGGGAGGCAUUGAAGCGUGGUCGCUAGAUCAUGUGGAGCCAACCUUGAAAUACCACCCUGAUGUUGUUGAGGUUCUAACCUAGACCCCGAAACGGGGUUGGGGACCGUGUAUGGUGGGCAGUUUGACUGGGGCGGUCUCCUCCCAAAGAGUAACGGAGGAGUGCGAAGGUAACCUAGGUACGGUCGGAAAUCGUACUGAUAGUGCAAUGGCAUAAGGUUGCUUGACUGCGAGACGGACAGGUCGAGCAGGUGCGAAAGCAGGUCAUAGUGAUCCGGUGGUUCUGUAUGGAAGGGCCAUCGCUCAACGGAUAAAAGGUACUCUGGGGAUAACAGGCUGAUACCGCCCAAGAGUUCAUAUCGACGGCGGUGUUUGGCACCUCGAUGUCGGCUCAUCUCAUCCUGGGGCUGUAGCCGGUCCCAAGGGUAUGGCUGUUCGCCAUUUAAAGAGGUACGUGAGCUGGGUUUAAAACGUCGUGAGACAGUUUGGUCCCUAUCUGCCGUGGGCGUUGGAGAUUUGACGGGGGCUGCUCCUAGUACGAGAGGACCGGAGUGGACGUACCGCUGGUGUACCUGUUGUUUCGCCAGAAGCAUCGCAGGGUAGCUAUGUACGGAAGAGAUAACCGCUGAAAGCAUCUAAGCGGGAAACUUGCCUGAAGAUAAGAUCUCCCGGAGGUUUAACCUCCAUAAAGGGUCGUUGAAGACCACAACGUUGAUAGGUCAGGUGUGGAAGCGCAGUAAUGCGUUAAGCUAACUGAUACUAAUUGCCCGUUAGGCUUGAUC